AUGUCCAUCAAACUUUGGGCCAUUACAUCAGCAUUAUGGCUCUUUUACAGCUUACCAGUCUAUGAAAAUAGCAAUUCCAGUGCAGAUGCUGAAGGCAGUAUCUCAAUUCAAAAGGUACUGCUGCGCCUUACAAGCCAAAAAAAAUUAAGCUUGUCAAAAAUUGGAUUGGUGCUUAGCUGCCUUUUUUCUUAUUUCCGUACCAGUCCUUUGAAUUCUGUUAGGCCGGUAAAGAGAGCAGGAAGCAGAUCCAUCUGUGAAGUCUUCAACUUUCACCUCCAUAUCCGGAGCAUGAAGCGUCGCUUGCUUCUGUUGGACCUGGACCCUCUCAGAGUGUGA
rnacentral:rRNA from 1 species